GAACGGGUACCAGUCUUCACGCCAGUGGUUGACACACUCGUGCCCACUCCGCAAGCCUUCUCUCGCUUUCACGGCCAUCACAGCCGCCCCAGCGCCUCUUUCUGCGUGCUCUCGUGUGUGUCUGGGCAGCUAUCAUCGUCACGAACCACCAUGAAGGGCGUCACCUCGUUCACCGUCUACGGACUGGUCACGGCGGCGGACUUCCAGCGUUGUGCAGAGGCGGCGGCGCACGUGAACGACAAGUACCCGGAAUCCUAUGCCGUCGUAGUGAAACUAGAGCUUCCACGAGACUUUGCCGAGCGGCGGGCUGCGUGGGCGUCGGCGGGGCAGCUGCCGUCCCAGCAGCAGCCGACAGACACCUUGUUCUGUGAGAGCGGUGGGCCAGCUACCACGGCGUCCGCGGCUGCUGCCGAACCGGCCUCGGUACUGGUGGAGCAGCACGGCAGCGAUAGCGAGCCACAGCGCCUUCUUACUGCAGAGACCUUCUUGCACAACAUCGCUACUCACACGGACUAUAAGCCCGACGCCACGGAGGACUACUACACCGCGCAAGGCAAGAGCGCGUGGCGUGCCUUCCUCGCAUCGCGUGGCCGACAGUACUGCUGGAUGGACGUGUCAGUGGACGGCGUGGCGGUGGGGAGGGUUUGGUUUGAGCUGUACGCGACUGUGGCUCCGCUGACGUGCAAGAACUUCUGCGAGCUGUGCCGCGGCACCACGGUUGCCACAGGCAACACCGUUGCGCACAGCAGCGUAUUCGAUCCGCCGCCGUCGCAGCACAUCGGCUACAAGGGGACUACCUUCUUCCGCACCUUAAAGGAUGCGUGGGUGAUGGGGGGCGAUGUGACCGGUGCGCACUCCGGCAAUGGCGGGUACUCGUGCUACGGCCGCUGCUUCCCCGAUGAGACGUACGCCGUCCCCCACGAUGCGGCUGGCAUUCUAGGCAUGUGCAACGACGGCCCGCACACGAACAGCUCUGCCUUCUACAUCACGCUUCGACCCAUGUCCUGGAUGAACGGCAAGUACGUUGCCUUUGGUCGAGUCAUGGACGGCAUGCACGUGGUGGAUGCGAUCCACGCGGUCGAGGUGCGUCACAACCAGGCCCCGAAAGCGUCCAUUGUCAUCACCGACUGUGAAGUGCUUGACACGAGUGUGUAAGGAGAAGAGGGUGAGGAGGGUUAAGGGCCUGGGUGCCGAUCCGAGAGAGAGUCGGGCCUGCUCAAGGCCGAACGAAUGGCAGGCGGGCGUGGGACGGCACAACAGCGAUCAGUAUGGAAGCGGCAGCACCUCCCACAAGGGGUGGAGAGCCCGUGGCGGCGCUCGCUUGCACGCACAGGUGUGCGGGGUGGAGAUGGGUGGGUAGAGUGGGCGAGAGAUAGGGAGGGCAGUAGGCGAACGCUUAUAUAUGUUUGUGUGUGUGCGGAACCGUGGGUCGUCGCUGCCUUGCAUGUGCGUGAUGGCAGGCGCUUGUCACCGCGUCGGUAAGUUUCUUCUCUUGUCCUGUGUGUGCUGCCUCCAUCCGAACCGCGUGCGGCUCGCCACCGGCCCCUCCUGCGCCCCCUCACGGGCUCUCUUCUCUCGUUCUCAACGUCUUCUUUGAUUUGUUUCCGUUGAUGCCCCGAUGUACUACUAGACACACCUCAACUUGCAACACCGCGGUGCCCCACCUCCUCCCUCCCUACCACGGACAUCAUCUCACUGUCUGUGCCUGUCUGUCCGCCGACAGCGACAACGGCGACGCUUCCUUCCGCCUCGGGCGUCGUGCUCCCCCUCUCUCUCGCUCUCGCUCUGCUAGUCCGAGGGGUCUUUGUCUCACUGCGUCUCUGAGUUCUCUGCACCUCAAGAAGGCGCACAACUCAUGGAAGGAAAGGACGCACAGGGACACACACACACACACACACACACGGCCAGCGCCGCAUCGCCACCCACUUCUUCUCCACCACACUCUCGAUUGUGCACGCACGCACAGAAAUGCGCGCCGAGGACGGAAAAGGGUGCGGGUUGCGGUGCGUACGCGGCGAUAGGAGAAGCGACUCACGUACGCCACAGCGUACACGACGGUGCAGCUUUUCGCUCUUGUGUGUGUCUCUCUCUAACUCUCAGCGCACGUGAGCAAGGAAGUGGUGGUGGUGGGCAGCCUCAUCUCCGCGCUUCACCCGGGCUGAUCCGUAUCCACCACCCACCCGCCCCCCUCCUUUGCGUCCCUCGGCGAACUAGCGAGGGCGUGCGCGCUUUCUAUUACCGUUCGCUUGCUUCGCGCCCGCCGCCCCUUCCUCGCCUUCCACACUCCACCUCCCUCUUCCAACGCCUUGCGUGCCGGAAUCCCGCCGUCCGUCCCGCAUCCACGCCCGGGCACGCCUCACAAAACACCACUGGUGCUGCUGCGGCCAUGGAUGACGGUCGGGCCCACAAUGCUUGACCGGCCGUUUUGCACGCCGCACAUUCCGCGAG
rnacentral:misc_RNA from 1 species